GAUGAACGCUGGCGGCGUGCCUAAUACAUGCCAGUCGAGCGAACAGACGAGGAGCUUGCUCCUCUGACGUUAGCGGCGGACGGGUGAGUAACACGUGGAUAACCUACCUAUAAGACUGGGAUAACUUCGGGAAACCGGAGCUAAUACCGGGUAAUAUAUUGAACCGCAUGGUUCAAUAGUGAAAGACGGUUUUGCUGUCACUUAUAGAUGGAUCCGCGCCGCAUUAGCUAGUUGGUAAGGUAACGGCUUACCAAGGCAACGAUGCGUAGCCGACCUGAGAGGGUGACCGGCCACACUGGAACUGAGACACGGUCCAGACUCCUACGGGAGGCAGCAGUAGGGAAUCUUCCGCAAUGGGCGAAAGCCUGACGGAGCAACGCCGCGUGAGUGAUGAAGGUCUUCGGAUCGUAAAACUCUGUUAUUAGGGAAGAACAAAUGUGUAAGUAACUAUGCACGUCUUGACGGUACCUAAUCAGAAAGCCACGGCUAACUACGUG
rnacentral:rRNA from 1 species